AGAAGGCCCAAGGGCUACAUUUGGCUACAGAGUCUCAAGCAUAAAUCCUCCUCGCGAAGUGCUGCCUCUGUCAGGGCAUCAGGCAUGACAGAUC